GAUCAAGCUACGAAGGGCUCACGGAGGAUGCCUUGGUAUAUGGCGCCGAAGAAGGACGCGGUAAGCUGCGAAAAGCUGCGGGGAGGAGCAAACAUCUUGAGAUCCGCAGAUAUCCGAAUGAGGGAACUCAGCGCGAGUAAUGUCGCGUUACCGUACGAUGAACACAUAGUCGUGCGGGGGGAACCCGGGGAACUGAAACAUCUUAGUACCCGGAGGA
rnacentral:rRNA from 1 species